UGACCCAGCCGUGAACCCGUAGCCUUCGAUAGCCAUCCCGCAGCCUCUGUUUUUCACUCCCGAAACAAAGGAUGGUUCUCCUCCUACCGUGAGCCAUUGCAACCUUUAACCACCGUGAGCUUCUUCACGUUGCAGCUCCAGAAACCGCCGGCGAAGUUUUCCAUCACCCCAGUGCAUAGCCACCGAGUGCACCACCUCCCGUCGCACUUCACCAUCUUGGUGACGAUUAAUAUUUGUUCGGUAUUUUUGAGGAAAG